AAAGAUGAAAACCUACCCCCUCAAAAAUGGGCAUUAGGUAGAAUAAUUGAGUGUUAUCUGGGUGAAGAUAAAAGGGUCAGAGUUGUAAAAGUUAAAACACAAUCUGGAGUUUAUAAAAGAGCCAUUUCAAAAAUUUGUAUUUUACCUAUUGAUGUGUAAUCUUAUAUUAGUGUUCUUUAUUGUGUGAUUAAUGUUAUUACCUUGUAAUGUGUAGUGUUUAAAAUCUGAAUUUGUGUGUUUUUAUUCAGCAUUGUGCAUUGAAUUGUGAUAUUUCAUAGUUUUUCCUUGUGUGUGUGUGUUGACAACAUUAUGUCAAGGCGGGCGGUAUGUUCCGACCUGUCACUGUGCUGCCCUCUUGCGGCAAAAGGGAAAACACUUCAGUGUAUCGUGUAGCGUUAGCGAGUGUGUGUGCGGUAGCAGGGUAGCUGCUGCUAAGCAAUGAUGACCAGAAUAAAAGGAAAAAAGAGUCCAAAUUUAUUCUUGUGGUGUGAUUUUUUAAUAAUGUGAGAGCUAUCGACAUAAAUUUAGUGCAUGUGUAAUCAUAAUUAUUGUUAUAUUGCAUCUUUGAAAGUCUUAUUAACAUGAAGAACCAUAUUCAUAUUCAGUACUCUAUGUGCAUUUAAAGUUUGUAUUUGCCAGGUGUGGCUUUUGGUCAUGACAAGAAUGUUGUGAUGUAUUCUGAAUAUUGAGCAAUGGUGAUGUUUUUGGAGAUGACAAGAAUGUUGUGAUAUGUUUUGAAUAUUAUGCAGUGAUGGCACUUUUGGACAUUACACGGUAUACUUCUGAUGUUUUGAAUGUUGAACUAUGGUAAUGUUUUUGGAGUUUGACUUUGUUUGAUGGCGCAAGAGCCAUGAUGUUGGCUAUGCUGUGCCAGUUUUUUGAAAUGAUACAGAAUGUUCCUCAUAUGUUUUGAAUUUUGAACAAUGGUAAUGUUUUUGGAGUUUGACUUUGUUUGAUGGCGCAAGAGCCAUGAUGUUGGCUAUGCUGUGCCAGUUUUUUGAAAGGAUACAGAAUGUUCCUCAUAUGUUUUGAAUUUUGAACAAUGGUAAUGUUUUUGGAGUUUGACUUUGUUUGAUGGCGCCAGAGCCAUGAUGUUGGCUAUGCUGUGCCAGUUUUUUGGAAAUGAUACAGAAUGUUCCUCAUAUGUUUUGAAUUUUGAACAAUGGUAAUGUUUUUGGAGUUUGACUUUGUUUGAUGGCGCCAGAGCCAUGAUGUUGGCUAUGCUGUGCCAGUUUUUUGGAAAUGAUACAGAAUGUUCCUCAUAUGUUUUGAAUUUUGAACAAUGGUAAUGUUUUUGGAGUUUGACUUUGUUUGAUGGCGCCAGAGCCAUGAUGUUGGCUAUGCUGUGCCAGUUUUUUGGAAAUGAUACAGAAUGUUCCUCAUAUGUUUUGAAUUUUGAACAAUGGUAAUGUUUUUGGAGUUUGACUUUGUUUGAUGGCGCCAGAGCCAUGAUGUUGGCUAUGCUGUGCCAGUUUUUUGGAAAUGAUACAGAAUGUUCCUCAUAUGUUUUGAAUUUUGAACAAUGGUAAUGUUUUUGGAGUUUGUUUGAUGGCGCAAGAGCCAUGAUGUUGACUAUGCUGUGCCAUUUUUUGGAAAUGAUACAGAAUGUUCCUCAUAUGUUUUGAAUUUUGAACAAUGGUAAUGUUUUUGGAGUUUGUUUGAUGGCGCAAGAGCCAUGAUGUUGACUAUGCUGUGCCAUUUUUUGGAAAUGAUACAGAAUGUUCCUGAUAUGUUUUGAAUUUUGAACAAUGGUAAUGUUUUUGGAGUUUGUUUGAUGGCACAAGAGCCAUGAUGUUGACUAUGCUGUGCCAUUUUUUGGAAAUGAUACAGAAUGUUCCUCAUAUGUUUUGAAUUUUGAACAAUGGUAAUGUUUUUGGAGUUUGUUUGAUGGCGCAAGAGCCAUGAUGUUGACUAUGCUGUGCCAUUUUUUGGCAAUGAUACAGAAUGUUCCUGAUAUGUUUUGAAUUUUGAACAAUGGUAAUGUUUUUGGAGUUUGUUUGAUGGCGCAAGAGCCAUGAUGUUGACUAUGCUGUGCCAUUUUUUGGAAAUGAUACAGAAUGUUCCUGAUAUGUUUUGAAUUUUGAACAAUGGUGAUGUUUUUGGAAAUGUCACAGAAUGUUCCUGAUAUGUUUUGAAUAUUGAACAAUGGUUAAUAUUAUAUGAACUUUUGCCUGAAAUGUUAAAAAUUAUAGAUUGCAUUGAAUGUAAUGUACAUAUAUGUUCUAAUUAAUAAA